rnacentral:rRNA from 1 species
GGCGGCAUGCCUAACACAUGUAAGUCGUACGAGAAAACCUCUUCGGGGGUGAGUAAAGUGGCAAACGGGUGAGUAAUGCAUGGGUAACCUGCCCACACGUUCAGGAUAACACUUUGAAAAGAGUGCUAAUACUGGAUGCUGUCACCGUCUCUUCGGCGAUGGUGAUGAAAGAUGGCCAAUCCUUGGAAGCUAUCGCGUGUGGAGGGGCUCAUGUCCCAUUAGCUUGUUGGUGGGGUAAUGGCCUACCAAGGCUGCGAUGGGUAGCCGGCCUGAGAGGGUGUCCGGCCACACUGGGAUUGAGAUACGGCCCAGACUCCUACGGGAGGCAGCAGUGAGGAAUUUUGCGCAAUGGGAGAAAUCCUGACGCAGCAAUGCCGCGUGAGCGAUGAAGCCCUUUGGGGUGUAAAGCUCUGUCAAAUGGGAAGAAAUGAUAUAAGGUUAAUACCCUUGUACCUUGACGGUACCAUUAAAGGAAGCCCCGGCUAACUCCGUGCCAGCAGCCGCGGUAAUACGGAGGGGGCGAGCGUUAUUCGGAAUUACUGGGCGUAAAGAGCGUGUAGGCGGUCAUGCAAGUUAGGCGUGAAAUCCUGUGGCUU